GCCCCUGUAGCUCAGCGGAAAGAGCACGCUUCUGUCGAAGGCUUGGUCGUGAGUUCGAAUCUCACCAGGGGCACGA
rnacentral:tRNA from 1 species